UAGGGAAUCUUCCGCAAUGGGCGAAAGCCUGACGGAGCAACGCCGCGUGAGUGAUGAAGGUCUUCGGAUCGUAAAACUCUGUUAUUAGGGAAGAACAAAUGUGUAAGUAACUAUGCACAUCUUGACGGUACCUAAUCAGAAAGCCACGGCUAACUACGUGCCAGCAGCCGCGGUAAUACGUAGGUGGCAAGCGUUAUCCGGAAUUAUUGGGCGUAAAGCGCGCGUAGGCGGUUUUUUAAGUCUGAUGUGAAAGCCCACGGCUCAACCGUGGAGGGUCAUUGGAAACUGGAAAACUUGAGUGCAGAAGAGGAAAGUGGAAUUCCAUGUGUAGCGGUGAAAUGCGCAGAGAUAUGGAGGAACACCAGUGACGAAGGCGACUUUCUGGUCUGUAACUGACGCUGAUGUGCGAAAGCGUGGGGAUCAAACAGG
rnacentral:rRNA from 1 species